rnacentral:rRNA from 1 species
UGCAGUCGAACGGUGAAGCCAAGCUUGCUUGGUGGAUCAGUGGCGAACGGGUGAGUAACACGUGAGCAACCUGCCCUGGACUCUGGGAUAAGCGCUGGAAACGGCGUCUAAUACUGGAUAUGAGCUCUUACCGCAUGGUGGGGGUUGGAAAGAUUUUCCGGUCUGGGAUGGGCUCGCGGCCUAUCAGCUUGUUGGUGAGGUAAUGGCUCACCAAGGCGUCGACGGGUAGCCGGCCUGAGAGGGUGACCGGCCACACUGGGACUGAGACACGGCCCAGACUCCUACGGGAGGCAGCAGUGGGGAAUAUUGCACAAUGGGCGGAAGCCUAAUGCAGCAACGCCGCGUGAGGGAUGACGGCCUUCGGGUUGUAAACCUCUUUUAGCAGGGAAGAAGCGAGAGUCACGGUACCUGCAGAAAAAGCGCCGGCUAACUACGUGCCA